rnacentral:rRNA from 1 species
UACAGAGGUCCCAAGCGUUGUUCGGAUUCACUGGGCGUAAAGGGUGCGUAGGUGGCAAGGUAAGUUUGAUGUGAAAUCUCCGGGCUUAACCCGGAAACUGCAUUGAAUACUAUCUCGCUCGAGAGUUGGAGGGAGACUGGAAUACUUGGUGUAGCAGUGAAAUGCGUAGAUAUCAAGUGGAACACCAGUGGCGAAGGCGAGUCUCUGGACAACUUCUGACACUGAGGCACGAAAGCUAGGGGAGCAAACAGG